ACGGAAGGCAGCAGUGGGGAAUAUUGCACAAUGGGCGAAAGCCUGAUGCAGCGACGCCGCGUGAGUGAAGAAGUAUCUCGGUAUGUAAAGCUCUAUCAGCAGGGAAGAAAAUGACGGUACCUGACUAAGAAGCCCCGGCUAACUACGUGCCAGCAGCCGCGGUAAUACGUAGGGGGCAAGCGUUAUCCGGAUUUACUGGGUGUAAAGGGAGCGUAGACGGUUUGGCAAGUCUGAAGUGAAAUGCGGGGGCUCAACUCCUGAACUGCUCUGGAAACUGUCGAACUAGAGUGCAGGAGAGGUAAGUGGAAUUCCUAGUGUAGCGGUGAAAUGCGUAGAUAUUAGGAGGAACACCAGUGGCGAAGGCGGCUUACUGGACUGUAACUGACGUUGAGGCUCGAAAGCGUGGGGAGCAAACAGGAUUAGAUACCCUGGUA
rnacentral:rRNA from 1 species